AAAGAGCGCCAGGGACAACAACGUCACAUUAGAAAGAUUUUCAACUGGAUUUAGGUCAGGUGACUUGCUGGGCAAGUUUAAUUUUAUUACUCUUGUUACGACCCGGCUCAAGGCCGCAACAUAAAAGAAGAUGAAUACCAGGUUGUGGGUGAGAAGAGGCUUUAUCUUAAAAAGGACAACCAGGUUGGCUAAAAAUGGCUGGUGCCACUAAGGCAAACACAACAAAAGAGAUGGACAAAAUGGUGAACGGAGAACUAAACUAUACUGGGAAAAACUAAACUACUGACCCUGAA